rnacentral:rRNA from 1 species
UACGGGGGGGGCAAGCGUUGUUCGGAAUUACUGGGCGUAAAGGGCUCGCAGGCGGCCGACUAAGUCAGACGUGAAAUCCCUUGGCUUAACCAAGGAAUGGCGUCUGAUACUGGACGGCUUGAAUCCGGGAGAGGGAUGUGGAAUUCCAGGUGUAGCGGUGAAAUGCGUAGAUAUCUGGAGGAACACCGGUGGCGAAGGCGGCAUCCUGGACCGGUAUUGACGCUGAGGAGCGAAAGCCAGGGGAGCAAGCGGG